rnacentral:misc_RNA from 1 species
UGCUAACUGUGGCUUCAGGAAAGGGUGCCUUGUGCUGCAACUCAUUUUGAUUGGUGGAACCAUUAAAUAAACUUGGUGCUUGACGCCAUGGAACAGGACCAGAACCAGCUAUAGGAUUCCAAUUGUUGACGUCUUUAAUUCUUUCAGGCUGCAGAGGAAGGAAAAGUGAAGGUGGUGGCCAGGCAGGAUUUGGUGUCAAAA